GAUGAACGCUGGCGGCGUGCCUAAUACAUGCAAGUCGAGCGAACGGACGAGAAGCUUGCAUCACUGAUAUUAGCGGCGGACGGGUGAGUAACACGUGGAGAACCUACCUAUAAGACUGGGAUAACUUCUGGAAACCGGAGCUAAUACCGGAUAAUAUUUUUAACCGCAUGGUUCAAAAUUGAAAGACGCUCUUGCUUUCACUUAAGGAUAGAUCCGCUUUUCAUUAGCUAGUUGGUAAGGUAACGGCUUACCAAGGCAACGUAGCAUAGCCGCCCUGGGAGGUUGACGGCCAACACUGGACCUGAGCACGGGUCCAGACUCUACCGGGGGCAAGAAUAAGGGAAUCUUCGCCAUUGAGCGAAAGCCUGACGGAGCAACGCCGGGUGAGUGAUGAAGGUUUUCGGAUCGUAAACCUUUGUUAUAAGGGAAGACGAUAGGUGUAAGUAACUGCUCACAUAUUGACGGUAACUACUCAGAAAGGGACGGCUAACUACGUG
rnacentral:rRNA from 1 species